CCUACGGGAGGCAGCAGUAGGGAAUCUUUCACAAUGGGCGAAAGCCUGAUGGAGCAACGCCACGUGCAGGAUGAAGGCCUUCGGGUUGUAAACUGCUUUUAUAAGCGAGAAAUAUGAUGGUAAUUUAUGACAAAGCAUCGGCUAACUCCGUGCCAUCAGCCGCGGUAAUACGGAGGAUGCGAGCGUUAUCCGGAUUUAUUGGGUUUAAAGGGUGCGCAGGCGGAGGCACAAGUCAGCGGUAAAAUCGCGGGGCUCAACCCCGCUCCGCCGUUGAAACUGUGUCCCUUGAGUGCGCGAAGGGUAGGCGGAAUGCGUGGUGUAGCGGUGAAAUGCAUAGAUAUCACGCAGAACUCCGAUCGCGAAGGCAGCCUACCGGCGCGCAACUGACGCUCAUGCACGAAAGCGUGGGUAUCGAACAGGAUUAGAUACCCCAGUAGUC
rnacentral:rRNA from 1 species